rnacentral:rRNA from 2 species
AGAGUUUGAUCCUGGCUCAGGAUGAACGCCGGCAGUGUGCCUAAUACAUGCAAGUCGUACGCACUGGCCCAACUAAUUGAUGGUGCUUGCUGAAUUGACGAUGGAUCACCAGUGAGUGGCGGACGGGUGAGUAACACGUAGGUAACCUGCCCCGGAGCGGGGAAUAACAUUUGGAAACAGAUGCUAAUACCGCAUAACAACAAAAGCCGCAUGGUUUUUCUGGAAAGAUGGCUUUGGCUAUCACUCUGGGAUGGACCUGCGGUGCAUUUAGCUAGUUGGUAAGGUAACGGCUUACCCAAGGCGAUGAUGCAUAGCCGAGUUGAGAGACUGAUCGGCCACAAUGGGAACUGAGACACGGUCCAUAACUUCUACGGGAGGCAGCAGUAGGGAAUCUUCCACAAUGGGCGCAAGCUGAUGGAGCAACACCGCGUUAUUAAGAAAGGGUUUCGGCCGCUUAAACUCUGUUGUUGGAGAAGAACGUGCGUUAGAGUAACUGUUACGCAGUGACGGUAUCCAACCAGAAAGUCACGGCUAACUACGUGCCAGCAGCCGCGGUAAUACGUAGGUGGCAAGCGUUAUCCGGAUUUAUUGGGCGUAAAGCGAGCGCAGGCGGUUGCUUAGGUCUGAUGUGGAAACUCGGCUUAACCGAAGAAGUGCAUCGGAAACCGGGCGACUUGAGUGCAGAAGAGGACAGUGGAACUCCAUGUGUAGCGGUGGAAUGCGUAGAUAUAUGGAAGAACACCAGUGGCGAAGGCGGCUGUCUGGUCUGCAACUGACGCUGAGGCUCGAAAGCAUGGGUAGCGAACAGGAUUAGAUACCCUGGUAGUCCAUGCCGUAAACGAUGAGUGCUAGGUGUUGGAGGGUUUCCGCCCUUCAGUGCCUGUUCUAACGCAUUAAUGCACUCCGCCUGGGGAGUACGACCGCAAGGUUGAAACUCAAAGGAAUUGACGGGGGCCCGCACAAGCGGUGAAGCAUGUGGUUUAAUUCGAAGCUACGCGAAGAACCUUACCAGGUCUUGACAUCUUGCGCUAACCUUAGAGAUAAGGCGUUCCCUUCGGGGACGUUAAUGACAGGUGGUGCAUGGUCGUCGUCAGCUCGUGUCGUGAGAUGUUGGGUUAAGUCCCGCAACGAGCGCAACCCUUGUUACUAGUUGCCAGCAUUAAGUUGGGGACUCUAGUGAGACUGCCGGUGACAAACCGGAGGAAGGUGGGGACGACGUCAGAUCAUCAUGCCCCUUAUGACCCUGGGCUACACACGUGCUACAAUGGACGGUACAACGAGUCGCAAACUCGCGAGAGUAAGCUAAUCUCUUAAAGCCGUUCUCAGUUCGGACUGUAGGCUGCAACUCGCCUACACGAAGUCGGAAUCGCUAGUAAUCGCGGAUCAGCAUGCCGCGGUGAAUACGUUCCCGGGCCUUGUACACACCGCCCGUCACACCAUGGGAGUUUGUAACGCCCAAAGUUCGGUGGCCUAACCUUUAUGGACGGGUACCCUAAGGCGGGACAGAUGAUCUGGGGUGAAGUCGUAACAAGGUA